rnacentral:rRNA from 1 species
UACGAGGGGGGCAAAUGUUGUUCGGAAUCACUGGGCGUAAAGGGAGCGUAGGCGGGUUUCUAAGUCAGGUGUUUAAUCCCGGGGCCCAACCCCGGACAGGCACUUGAAACUGGGAAUCUUGAAUAGUGGAGAGGUCAGUGGAAUUGGGGGUGUAGCGGUGGAAUGCGUAGAGAUCCCCAAGAACACCAGUUGCGAAGGCGGCUGACUGGACACAUAUUGACGCUGAGGCGCGAAAGCGUGGGGAGCAACAGG